rnacentral:rRNA from 1 species
UACGUAGGUGGCAAGCGUUGUCCGGAUUUACUGGGCGUAAAGAGCGCGCAGGCGGCCAACUAAGUCGGACGUGAAAUCCCUCGGCUUAACCGGGGAACUGCGUCCGAUACUGGUUGGCUUGAGUUUGGGAGAGGGAUGCGGAAUUCCCGGUGUAGCAGUGAAAUGCGUAGAUAUCCGGAGGAACACCGGUGGCGAAGGCGGCUUCCUGGACCGACACUGACGCUGAGGCGCGAAAGCUAGGGGAGCAAACGGG